GUUCAGAACGUCGUGAGACAGUUCGGUCCCUAUCUACUGUAAUUGGAGAAAAUUGAAAGGAUUAAAUUUUAGUACGAGAGGACCAAAUUACGUAAAACCUCUGGUGUACCAGUUGUUUCAUCAGAAGCAGCGCUGGGUAGCUAAGUUUAUAAGAGAUAAUCGCUGAAAGCAUAUAAGCGAGAAACUUACCUUAAAAAAAAUUUUUUAGAAUCGUAAAAUAUUAUUACGUUGAUAGGCUUAGAAUGUAAGAGUUGUGAGGCUUUUAGUUUAUAAGUACU
rnacentral:rRNA from 1 species